CCUACGGGAGGCAGCAGUAGGGAAUUUUCGGCAAUGGGGGGAACCCUGACCGAGCAACGCCGCGUGAACGAAGAAGUUAUUCGUAAUGUAAAGUUCUUUUAACAGGGAAGAAAGAGAAAUUUGACGGUACCUGAAGAAUAAGCUCCGGCUAACUACGUGCCAGAUGCCGCGGUAAUACUAAGGGGGAGAGCGUAUUCCGGAAUUAUUGGGCGAAAGGGGUGCGUAGAUGGCAUAGUAAGUCUUUGGUAAAACUGCUGGGCUCAACCCAGUAGGGCAAAAGAUACUGCACAGCUAGAGUAUGACAGAGGCAGGUGGAACUACAUGUGUAGCGGUAAAAUGCGUAAAUAUAUGUAAGAACACCAGUGGCGAAGGCGGCUUGCUGGGUCGAUACUGACAUUGAGGCACGAAAGCGUGGGGAGCAAACAGGAUUAGAUACCCGAGUAGUC
rnacentral:rRNA from 1 species